UUCUCUUGAUACACAACAAAACGAUGCUUGCUAAAACGACCAACUUCCGCUUACACAAGAGUGCUUUUGGAAAUUAUUGUUGAACUUCUGAUUGCGUUUUUGGUUCUGAUGACUUAAGAAAAAUAGUCGUGUUGUUCGGGGUAAUGUUUUGGUGAGGAUUUGUAGAGAUCACUUACUUGUAAGUUGUUGUUCUUCCAUUCGACUCGUUUGUGUGGCGCCGUGGAACAAGUGCUCUUCGUCCGAUGGUCACCAAAGUCUAUAUGACAGAAACUGUGAAUUAGCCGGGCCGUGUUAUUUGUGUAGACAAGUCCGCGCGUUAUUGAAAACAUUCAUGGUUUGACAGCGAAUUAAGCUUAAUCAAUUCCACAUCAAAUCCGCUCCAAACCCUAAAUGAGCACAAAAGCAAUUAGAUGUCAUCAGUUAAGCGAUAUGCCAUUACUGGGCGACAACAGAGCGCUGUGAUUGGCUCAUUCACCGCAGUCAUACAGCAGUCAAAUCAUCCACUCUCGCAUGUCGUAUCGGUCCGUUUAAUUACACCACACAUACAUGAGGCCGUUUCUCUACUUUAAUUAAGUCCCACUAUUUAGGAUCUAGCCAGUCGUUUGCUUGAGGUCUUUGUUUUGCGCAAUCUCGUUCGGAAUGCAAUAAAGAGUCAUUUUCCUUCGUAUAUUUAUCACUGUUCCCGCUGUUCAAUACUUCAGUGGGGGACUGUUAAAGUGCUUCACAGCUCGAAUGAAGAGCCGUCACCUCAGCAAGGGAGACCGGCAAUUUGUUCGUCCGAUACAUCGCUUGUCUCAAGAGUGAUAGUAAUUGCUUUUUUUUUUUGUCUAUUUUUUAAGGGAUGCACUGCUGAAGAUUACGUGUUUCUGUUUUUGAUCAUGUGAACUGCUUGAAACAGUCAUUUACUAGAUACACAAUUGGAUGUAAGGGGAAUGCAAUUAGCAGAGUCGACAAGCAAAACCCGUCGCCAGCUGUCCCUACAAAAUUAAACAAAUUCUUUUCAACCAAUCAGAGUGCCAUAUGAAGAUAUACCGAGUUUUCACCUAUACGGUCUCACGGACUCAAUAUCAUUCAUUUAGAAUAAAAUAAUGCAUGAACUAAUUAGCAGCGUAAUGGCCGUGUUUGCUCUUUUCUCGAGGGUACAUUAUCAACGCGAGUUUUAUCUUCAAAUUAGAGUGCUUUACAGAGCAUGCGCACAAGCUGACUGCUCAGACGUUUUCGAGCGAAACGAAACACGGAAGAUAUCGCGUGCGAAAUCCGCGCCCGGAGAAUCUGUAAUGAGUCAAAAUUUUAUUACUAGUCGUCGCUUCGAAAUUAAAUGAAACCAACGGAUUGGAGCGAAAGACUAUUUAAGUAACACAGCAGGCGAAAGCAAAAUAUCAUCUUUCAUACGUUGAACCCAAGGGGCUACAGAGAAAAAAAGGUGUCGAUAAUGGAUUUUUUGGUGUCAGUCCACCCUGCGAACAGAUGCCGGCGCCGGCUAAGGUUCAAAUGAAUACGGGUGACUGUUGGCAGGCCUAGACAGCAAAGACUUAAUUUGCUUAACAACAGCGAGAGAGGCUGGAGACUUUGCCGCUUCGGAUCCCGACUGAGGGACGUGCAAUCAAUCGAAUAUUGGUCAACCAUAAACUUCGAGAGACGAGGUGUGUUCAAGAGUUCGCCACUUGUAAAGAGAUUGAUUUUUGUGCUAUGAACGGAAGCACGGCUGAGAGCUUACGAAACAUUCCCUCUGUAAUCAAUCGAACUCUAUUACAGCUAAUUGAUUAAUCGCUAGCGCCUCAAUCAAUAGGCUUCAACGCCGUCUAACAUCGACAAUAAUGGCAUUUUUUACUUUAUCAUAGAUAAAUGCAAUUUUAUACAUUCCGAUGGAUUUUUUCACGACAAAUAGUAAAACCCCAAGAUAGCCACACUGACUAAUUGCAUUCCGAGACAUGUUGCGAAUAUGAUACAUCGCUAUUUACAUGGAAGCUGUGGAAAUCAUGGUCUUGGCAUUGACGGCGAAUCAAAGCUAUGCCGUAAUGAGAACUAGCCAGGGUCCUGCAGAGAGCUAGCAGAGUAAUUGCCUCUUGGACAAACAAUUCGCUGACCCACAAGACACGCGCGGAAAAGACCCGCUUACCACUGCUGAGAUAGCUUGUGUCAUAACCUGCAAAAUCCCCGACCGUUAGAGAAACUCAAUAAUAAAACUCCUCAUUGUUCCGUUUCGCUCUAAAUACAAUACUGAAAUCUCGACAAAAUGUCCUGGAUUGUACAAAGCGAGAUGAUGAUACAUUUUUAUUAAUGUGGCACUACUCUAUUAUUUACGUACGUUAAAAAGGAUGGUUGGUUUUCUACUGUUUGUGACUUUAUCCAUCAACACAAAAAAACACUACAAAGUUCUCUGAAGAAUCCAAAAGGGCUCUUUGUAAGAUUCCCAUACGAUUUGCCAACCUUUACUUUAACUAAACACCUUAAGUCAUAUUUACAUAAGUAAUUAAAUCAGAUGAAAGUGUAAAUAAAGCGAGGGCUUUAUUAUAAAGAAUACUAAAAGCUAAUUGAGCCACUCUUUGUGUUGAUUGGUCCACCUCGCAAUUGUUUUGAAUUAUUCACUAGUGUUUUUAGUUUCGAAGAUUUAAACGUAAAGUUUCCGGAUAAUGAGAUUUUCUAAUCCGUCCAUUAGUAGAAAUUGAAUCUGCCCCUAGAUCGAAAAGCCGCAAGAGUGAGUAAUGGAAAACAAUUAGCGGACAAAGUGAAUUCACUCGUAUGGAAAAAGCGACGAGUUUGAAGCUAAAAAGUGAGCAAGGCACAGUGAACGCUGCGAGUGAAUUUGCCAAAACUGAAAUAAACUCAAUCAAGACUCAGGGCUGUGGUUUGGGAUAGAUUAAUUAAAGUCGGUUUACUUAAACUUUGUAGUCGAAAGCAGAAGAAUUAAUCAUAAAAAGAAUUGAAGAUUAGAUUUCUUACCAAACGACGGUGAAAAAGUAUAACUUGAACGUAAAGAGGUUCCGCUCGAAACGGCGAUGCACGAAUCUUUCUAGGAGCAACGUUUCUUGUAACACAUUAGCGCCAAAUGCUUGUCUCAAUGAAACACUGUUAGUAAAAAACAUAGAUGAUAUCUGCCCAUAAAAUUCCAACUCAAGAGUAGUUUUUAUGGCUGGAGGGUUUUCUUAAGCGGUUAAUGGCUAAUGUCAUUUCAUUAAAAGCCAUUAAGAUGAGAGCUGUGCUAGUGGUCGACAUUUUCGUUUCGACUCGUAGGCACCAUUUGCCAAUAUCAUCUUUUAUGCUUUAGUAACUUUGUUAAUGGGUAGAAAUAGUCGUAGAACCGCCAGCAGCCCCGGGCUUCGCGACCGGAUUGGUCAAAGUGUGCUCGAGUCAGGCUGAGAGCUCUGCUAAUUAUCUCUAACACAAAGUAUGUUUAUUACUGAGAUGUGAUGACUUAAGAUGCAAGGACACACGUGUGAGAAGAUCAUCAUGGAUCAGAGCCUUAAUGGGCCAUCGAAAUGGACGAUUGUUUAUGACUGCUACCUAGACGUUCCAGAAUUUUCUCAGAGGAUGAGACUGUGGAUCGCCAACCAUAAGCGCAUUACGGGAGUGAGAGCUAGUGCAAACAGGCCAGACACAAGUACGGCAUCGACGCAAGCAACGCAAAAUGUAAAUCAGGCCAAAAGAACAAGCACAAGUGUGAACAUGGAAAACACUAGAGAAUGCCAAGUGUGAACCGGGCAAAUCGCUACGAAAAAACAUAGCACAAGUGUGAACCGGGCGAACAUAACAUCAGCACAAGUGUGAACCGAGCGACCACAAGCGCAGUACAAGUGUGAACCGAGCGACCACAAGCGCAGCACAAGUGUGAACCGAGCAAACACAAGCGCAGCACAGGUGUGAACCGGCAAACACAAGCGCAGCGCAAGUGUGAACCGAGCGAACACAAGCGCAGCACUAGUGUGAACCGGCAAACACAAGCGCAGCGCAAGUGUGAACCGAGCGAACACAAGCGCAGCACUAGUGUGAACCGGCAAACACAAGCGCAGCACAAGUGUGAACCGAGCGACCACAAGCGCAGCACAAGUGUGAACCGAGCGACCACAAGCGCAGCCCAAGUGUGAACCGAGCGACCACAAGCGCAGCACAAGUGUGAACCGGGCGAACACAAGCGCAGCGCAAGUGUGAACCGAGCGAACACAAGCGCAGCACUAGUGUGAACCGGCAAACACAAGCGCCGCGCAAGUGUGAACCGAGCGACCAAAAGCGCAGCCCAAGUGCGAACCGGGCGAACACAAGCGCAGCACAAGUGUGAACCGGGCAAACACAAGCGCAGCACAAGUGUGAACCGGGCGAACACAAGCGCAGCGCAAGUGUGAACCGAGCGACCACAAGCGCAGCACAAGUGUGAACCGGGCGAACACAAGCGCAGUACAAGUGUGAACCGAGCGACCACAAGCGCAGCACAAGUGUCAACCGGGCGAACACAAGCGCAGCACAAGUGUGAACCGAGCGACCACAAGCGCAGCGCAAGUGUGAACCGGGCGAACACAAGCGCAGUACAAGUGUGAACCGAGCGACCACAAGCGCAGCACUAGUGUGAACCGGCAAACACAAGCGCAGCACAAGUGUGAACCGAGCGACCACAAGCGCAGCGCAAGUGUGAACCGAGCGACCACAAGCGCAGCCCAAGUGUGAACCGAGCGACCACAAGCGCAGCACAAGUGUCAACCGGGCAAACACAAGCGCAGCACAAGUGUGAACCGGGCGAACACAAGCGCAGUACAAGUGUCAACCGGGCGAACACAAGCGCAGCACAAGUGUGAACCGAGCGACCACAAGCGCAGCACAAGUGUCAACCGGGCAAACACAAGCGCAGCACAAGUGUGAACCGGGCGAACACAAGCGCAGUACAAGUGUGAACCGGGCAAACACAAGCGCAGCACAAGUGUCAACCGGGCGAACACAAGCGCAGCACAAGUGUGAACAGGGCGAACACAAGCGCAGCACAAGUGUGAACCGAGCGACCACAAGCGCAGCACAAGUGUGAACCGGGCGAACACAAGCGCAGUACAAGUGUUAACCGGGCGAACACAAGCGCAGCACAAGUGUUAACCGGGCGAACACAAGCGCAGCACAAGUGUGAACCGGGCAAACACAAGCGCAGCACAAGUGUGAACCGGGCAAACACAAGCGCAGCACAAGUGUUAACCGGGCGAACACAAGCGAAGCACAAGUGUGAACCGGGCAAACACAAGCGAAGCACAAGUGUGAACCGGGCGAACACAAGCGCAGCACAAGUGUGAACCGGGCAAACACAAGCGCAGUACAAGUGUGAACCGGGCAAACACAAGCGAAGCACAAGUGUGAACCGGGCGAACACAAGCGCAGUACAAGUGUCAACCGGGCGAACACAAGCGAAGCACAAGUCGCGAUCUGAAGCGUGUUGAGCGCUAUUACCCGGGAGUACUUUAAAAUAAAAGAAGACCCUUAGUCACCGACUAUCUCACAUGUCAUCUCUCAUUACUUUCAUUAAUUCAUUUGGAGUAAUUAACGUGAGGGCGUUCGUGAGAAAACUUCUCCUGUUCAACAGCUAACUUAAUAACCUUCUUAUCCAAGUUGAUUGAUGUAAGCACUACCUUAAUUUGAAAGCCUUUUUGGGCCUAUAAUCGCAAGCCACAGCUGUUUUAUUGAAGACGAAUGUCACUGCAGUGUCAAGGAACGACACCAAGAAAAAGUAAUUCGCUCUUAAGACACUUUGAGCUUUCAAAAGCGUGCAUUCAGAUAAUGCAAAUUUUUGGCAGCAUUGCUCACAAGAGAAAGUUAUGAAAAAUCCCUUAAUCAAUAGAGAUUUACAUUGAAAAUUAACGUGAAACAAACAUUAUAUGAUAACCCAAAAAUGUGAUAUUUAAAGGGUUGCGUGUCAAAUUUUAAAAGCGUUUUUGUUCAAAUCUUACAGUGUUUAUAGUCGUGGGUAUUUGAAGACUUUUAAGCCUCAGUAAAAACAGUUCAUGUUUUGCUAUGCUAUUAAACGUUGCGUGGAACAGAAAACACUAA